rnacentral:rRNA from 1 species
AGGGCUUCGCAGGCGGUUUUUUAAGUCUGAAUGUGAAAGCCCCCGGCUCAACCGGGGAGGGUCAUUGGAAACUGGGAAACUUGAGUGCAGAAGAGGAGAGUGGAAUUCCACGUGUAGCGGUGAAAUGCGUAGAGAUGUGGAGGAACACCAGUGGCGAAGGCGACUCUCUGGUCUGUAACUGACGCUGAGGAGCGAAAGCGUGGGGAGCGAACAGGAUUAGAUACCCUGGUAGUCCACGCCGUAAACGAUGAGUGCUAAGUGUUAGGGGGUUUCCGCCCCUUAGUGCUGCAGCUAACGCAUUAAGCACUCCGCCUGGGGAGUACGGUCGCAAGACUGAAACUCAAAGGAAUUGACGGGGGCCCGCACAAGCGGUGGAGCAUGUGGUUUAAUUCGAAGCAACGCGAAGAACCUUACCAGGUCUUGACAUCCUCUGACAACCCUAGAGAUAGGGCUUUCCCUUCGGGGACAGAGUGACAGGUGGUGCAUGGUUGUCGUCAGCUCGUGUCGUGAGAUGUUGGGUUAAGUCCCGCAACGAGCGCAACCCUUGAUCUUAGUUGCCAGCAUUCAGUUGGGCACUCUAAGGUGACUGCCGGUGACAAACCGGAGGAAGGUGGGGAUGACGUCAAAUCAUCAUGCCCCUUAUGACCUGGGCUACACACGUGCUACAAU